AGGAACAUUGUCGUCUUGACGAUAGUGCUGCCCUGAGUUCUGCGCGCGUUGAUUUGUUGAGUGCCUAGUCCUCUUAUUAGCCGUUGAUGGAGUUACAUGUUAGGAUGUUUUGUUCUUUUGCAAGUCUCAUUUAGUAAGACUUUGGAAUUCCUACGAUCAGUUUUCAUGCAUGGUGCUCUUCUGCAAUAGUUUCCUAUGCAAUCGUUAUAGAAGAAUAAAGCAAAUAAUCUUGGGAUAGUGAUUCAAUAAAUAAUAGGUCCCCUGUCUAGAGCGCACGCGUCCUUGAGCCACGCAGGUGCAUGAUGACGUCAUACCGUGGCUUCACUGCAGAUUGACCAAAGGAGCAUUAGUGGAAAAAAACAGUGUAGCCCUGAGACAAUAGGAUGAUGUCUGGACCAAUGAGAACUGCCAGCAGGGGGCGCAGGAAUGCUCUUCUCACUUAGCCUCACGACCAAUGAGAACGGCCAGCAGGGGGCGCAGGAAUGCUCUUCUCUCUUAGCCUCUCGCAGGUGGCGGUAGGAGCGCGCAGAGAGCGCUACGAGCGCGCGCAUGCGUAGCACCCGUAGAGUGGCGCUUACGUCAGUCCACCUCUGGCUCUCGUUGGGAGAAGACGUGCGGUCGUUCGCUCCGUCGUCACUUGAUCCCUGGCUGUCGACGAGAGCAGUCGCAUCGGUCUGCGCUCCUACUGUGAGCUGUCCUAACUUGCCCAGACAUGCCGUGAUGACGUCACAGCUGACGUCACAGGAUGUCCGGAACUGGUGGUCAUAGCUGCGAUGCUUUGCAACCUGCCUCUGUGCUCCGUCGCCCAGCGACGGUCAGCGGCCUUUCCGGACCGCUUUCUUCAAGAUGGCGCCGUUGAUCUUCAAUUAAACUCCUUCUCUCCACUCUA